GGGUUGUGAGGUUAAGCGACUAAGCGUACACGGUGGAUGCCCUGGCAGUCAGAGGCGAUGAAGGACGUGCUAAUCUGCGAUAAGCGUCGGUAAGGUGAUAUGAACCGUUAUAACCGGCGAUUUCCGAAUGGGGAAACCCAGUGUGAUUCGUCACACUAUCAUUAACUGAAUCCAUAGGUUAAUGAGGCGAACCGGGGGAACUGAAACAUCUAAGUACCCCGAGGAAAAGAAAUCAACCGAGAUUCCCCCAGUAGCGGCGAGCGAACGGGGAGCAGCCCAGAGCCUGAAUCAGUGUGUGUGUUAGUGGAAGCGUCUGGAAAGGCGCGCGAUACAGGGUGACAGCCCCGUACACAAAAAUGCACAUGCUGUGAGCUCGAUGAGUAGGGCGGGACACGUGGUAUCCUGUCUGAAUAUGGGGGGACCAUCCUCCAAGGCUAAAUACUCCUGACUGACCGAUAGUGAACCAGUACCGUGAGGGAAAGGCGAAAAGAACCCCGGCGAGGGGAGUGAAAAAGAACCUGAAACCGUGUACGUACAAGCAGUGGGAGCACAGAGCAAUCUGUGUGACUGCGUACCUUUUGUAUAAUGGGUCAGCGACUUAUAUUCUGUAGCAAGGUUAACCGAAUAGGGGAGCCGAAGGGAAACCGAGUCUUAACUGGGCGUUAAGUUGCAGGGUAUAGACCCGAAACCCGGUGAUCUAGCCAUGGGCAGGUUGAAGGUUGGGUAACACUAACUGGAGGACCGAACCGACUAAUGUUGAAAAAUUAGCGGAUGACUUGUGGCUGGGGGUGAAAGGCCAAUCAAACCGGGAGAUAGCUGGUUCUCCCCGAAAGCUAUUUAGGUAGCGCCUCGUGAAUUCAUCUCCGGGGGUAGAGCACUGUUUCGGCAAGGGGGUCAUCCCGACUUACCAACCCGAUGCAAACUGCGAAUACCGGAGAAUGUUAUCACGGGAGACACACGGCGGGUGCUAACGUCCGUCGUGAAGAGGGAAACAACCCAGACCGCCAGCUAAGGUCCCAAAGUCAUGGUUAAGUGGGAAACGAUGUGGGAAGGCCCAGACAGCCAGGAUGUUGGCUUAGAAGCAGCCAUCAUUUAAAGAAAGCGUAAUAGCUCACUGGUCGAGUCGGCCUGCGCGGAAGAUGUAACGGGGCUAAACCAUGCACCGAAGCUGCGGCAGCGACGCUGAUGCGUUGUUGGGUAGGGGAGCGUUCUGUAAGCCUGCGAAGGUGUGCUGUGAGGCAUGCUGGAGGUAUCAGAAGUGCGAAUGCUGACAUAAGUAACGAUAAAGCGGGUGAAAAGCCCGCUCGCCGGAAGACCAAGGGUUCCUGUCCAACGUUAAUCGGGGCAGGGUGAGUCGACCCCUAAGGCGAGGCCGAAAGGCGUAGUCGAUGGGAAACAGGUUAAUAUUCCUGUACUUGGUGUUACUGCGAAGGGGGGACGGAGAAGGCUAUGUUGGCCGGGCGACGGUUGUCCCGGUUUAAGCGUGUAGGCUGGUUUUCCAGGCAAAUCCGGAAAAUCAAGGCUGAGGCGUGAUGACGAGGCACUACGGUGCUGAAGCAACAAAUGCCCUGCUUCCAGGAAAAGCCUCUAAGCAUCAGGUAACAUCAAAUCGUACCCCAAACCGACACAGGUGGUCAGGUAGAGAAUACCAAGGCGCUUGAGAGAACUCGGGUGAAGGAACUAGGCAAAAUGGUGCCGUAACUUCGGGAGAAGGCACGCUGAUAUGUAGGUGAAGCGACUUGCUCGUGGAGCUGAAAUCAGUCGAAGAUACCAGCUGGCUGCAACUGUUUAUUAAAAACACAGCACUGUGCAAACACGAAAGUGGACGUAUACGGUGUGACGCCUGCCCGGUGCCGGAAGGUUAAUUGAUGGGGUCAGCGCAAGCGAAGCUCUUGAUCGAAGCCCCGGUAAACGGCGGCCGUAACUAUAACGGUCCUAAGGUAGCGAAAUUCCUUGUCGGGUAAGUUCCGACCUGCACGAAUGGCGUAAUGAUGGCCAGGCUGUCUCCACCCGAGACUCAGUGAAAUUGAACUCGCUGUGAAGAUGCAGUGUACCCGCGGCAAGACGGAAAGACCCCGUGAACCUUUACUAUAGCUUGACACUGAACAUUGAGCCUUGAUGUGUAGGAUAGGUGGGAGGCUUUGAAGUGUGGACGCCAGUCUGCAUGGAGCCGACCUUGAAAUACCACCCUUUAAUGUUUGAUGUUCUAACGUUGACCCGUGAUCCGGGUUGCGGACAGUGUCUGGUGGGUAGUUUGACUGGGGCGGUCUCCUCCUAAAGAGUAACGGAGGAGCACGAAGGUUGGCUAAUCCUGGUCGGACAUCAGGAGGUUAGUGCAAUGGCAUAAGCCAGCUUGACUGCGAGCGUGACGGCGCGAGCAGGUGCGAAAGCAGGUCAUAGUGAUCCGGUGGUUCUGAAUGGAAGGGCCAUCGCUCAACGGAUAAAAGGUACUCCGGGGAUAACAGGCUGAUACCGCCCAAGAGUUCAUAUCGACGGCGGUGUUUGGCACCUCGAUGUCGGCUCAUCACAUCCUGGGGCUGAAGUAGGUCCCAAGGGUAUGGCUGUUCGCCAUUUAAAGUGGUACGCGAGCUGGGUUUAGAACGUCGUGAGACAGUUCGGUCCCUAUCUGCCGUGGGCGCUGGAGAACUGAGGGGGGCUGCUCCUAGUACGAGAGGACCGGAGUGGACGCAUCACUGGUGUUCGGGUUGUCAUGCCAAUGGCACUGCCCGGUAGCUAAAUGCGGAAGAGAUAAGUGCUGAAAGCAUCUAAGCACGAAACUUGCCCCGAGAUGAGUUCUCCCUGACUCCUUGAGAGUCCUGAAGGAACGUUGAAGACGACGACGUUGAUAGGCCGGGUGUGUAAGCGCAGCGAUGCGUUGAGCUAACCGGUACUAAUGAACCGUGAGGCUUAACCUUACAACGCCGAAGGUGUUU
rnacentral:rRNA from 1 species